UACAGAGGUCUCAAGCGUUGUUCGGAUUCAUUGGGCGUAAAGGGUGCGUAGGUGGCGCGGUAAGUCGGGUGUGAAAUUUCGGAGCUUAACUCCGAAACUGCAUUCGAUACUGCCGUGCUUGAGGACUGGAGAGGAGACUGGAAUUUACGGUGUAGCAGUGAAAUGCGUAGAUAUCGUAAGGAAGACCAGUGGCGAAGGCGGGUCUCUGGACAGUUCCAUGACACUGGAGGCACGAAGGCCAGGGGAGCAAACGGG
rnacentral:rRNA from 1 species